AUGAUAGUAAUGCAUGAGUUGCCUUUCUCAAUAGUUGAGUACAGUGGUUUUAGAGACUUCGUGAAAAGUUUAAAUCCCUUGUUCAAAAAUGUUUUUAGAAAUACUAUUAAAGAGGAGUGUAUGAAACACUAUAAUUUGGAGAGGUCAGUGUUCUCUGAACAUUUGAAGAAAUACAGUGGUAGAGUUGCUUUAACAGCGGACAUGUGGACAUCUAAUCAGACUUUGUCCUAUCUAUGCAUCACUUGCCAUUUGAUCACCAGCAAAUGGAUUUUGCAAAAGAGGAUCUUCAGAUUUUUUAUGGUGGAGACUGAUGUCUACUACUCAACCUUCUUCUUGUAG
rnacentral:rRNA from 1 species